ensembl:lncRNA LINC-PINT long intergenic non-protein coding RNA, p53 induced transcript
AGCAUUAGGGGAGCCCACGGCUACAAAAACAAGUGAGUGAGAAGAGGUGGGAGGAAGAGAAACUACGCCACCUCCCCUGCAGCCGAGUGCACGCAGCAGCCUGGCGUGACAAGUGGGCGACGCCGGGGGGCAGGGAGCCGGGGUCCUUGGCCCUGGCCGGGGACCCCACCGCCCACCGCGCGGAGGACAACUUUUAGCCGGCAGCCCAGACCAGCGCGGCACCUGUCUCCGGAGUCUCCACCGCUCCUCCCGAUUCAUCCCAGGGAAAUUCUCAAGAAUACGCUCUACAAAUCUACGUGCGCAUCAUUUUCACCUCGCGUCGCGCCCGGGAGGAAGGAACGAGGCAAGGAGCUAAAGCAGCGUGCGUUCAGCCCUGGGGCAUUUUAUUAAUGCUUUUACGAGUUAGAAGAGUUGGGAUAAUUUGCCAUCUGGAGUUUCUCUGCCUUGCUGAUCUGAGCUCAGACCUGCCAAUUUACCAGAGAUAAUUGAUAACACCCUGUAACAGCUGAGAGGAAAAUGGAAGAAACGGAGAUACUUUUAGUGAAGCAGAAUAAACCACUGAACAGAUGGAGUCUCACUCUGUUGCCCAGACUGGAAUGCAGUGGUGUGAUCUCAACUGACUGCAACCUCCGUAUCCUGGGUUCAAGCAACUCUCCUGCUGCAGCCACGAAAAAUGAGGAAGCUGUGAGUACCAGUGGAAGGAACGAGCCAGGAAGAGGGACUGGAACCAUCUCAGAAGCCAUGCCCCUCAGGCUGGAACUUGCCCUGUCUCCUCGCAGAUGAGGUAGGAGGCUCAGCACGGGCUGGUGGGAGCAGCCCACAGCAGCAGUGAGGGUCAGUGGGCCUGUGAGUUAAGAAGAAGGUGGCACAGAGCGAGGGUCUCUGGAUCCUGACUGUUUGACUUUUCCAUGAUUAGGAUAAGUAGCCAGGGCUUGGCUAGUUGGAGAGUUACUCGAACCUCAGGUGACAGUUGUAAGGCAGCACAUAGUGAAAAAGAGUCCUAGCCUGGGAAAGUCCAAAACCUUAGGUCUGGUUUCAGUUCACUCACCUAUCUCUGUGACAUAGCAAAGUCUGUUAAUUUCUCUAAUUUUCUGAUUAGUAGUAUAGUUGCAGGAAUGAAAUAAAAAUGGUCCUGAUUACUCAGAGAUUCAUUUACUGAUUACUCUUUUUGUGACCUGAAUAAAGAGUACAACAUCUCUCAAAAGGUAACAAUAUGAUGUUUCAGGAAAUUAGAGAAGUUAAGAGACUUUGCUGUAUUUACUAUACAGAUAGUUGACUGACAGCUGAGCCCGGACCCAAGAUUCAUUUAUAAAAUGAAGGAGUUGAGAAGUACAUACUCUGAGGUUUAUCCUAAAUAAACUGAAGUCUAGGCAAGUGGCUGAGCUAGGUUUGCCAUGAAUCAAUCUGCUGAGUAUAUUUCUUGGUAACUAGUUCAUCUUUCCUUAAUUCAGUCAACAAAUAUGAUAUCAAGUUUAGUAAGAUGAUGACAGUUGUCAUGUAAUACUCCAUCUGGAAGAUUGUAUGCUUCUCAGCUUCCCUAACUUUUCUUAAUCUACCUUAAGCUUCCUUUCUGAAAGGUUUCUGUCUUUCCUAACAGUCUCUUCUUUCCGCCAGCUACCUCUUGUGUUUAAGAAUUAAAGGAAGAUGAGCUAGGAAUCAAGAAAUACGCAGAACUGAUUCCUGUCACUGGCGCCACCCUGCCACUUGCCCAGAGCUGUGGUAUAAAUUUUUUUAAUAGGCUGAAAUAAAAAUAUGAAUAGCAUUUUGGUAUUAAGCAUUAAAUUGAUAAAGGCUAUGAGAUACACCUGCUCUCAACCAUGUUAAUUUUUUAUUAUUGGUAUUAAUAAAUUAUUACUUACUAACAUAUUAACAAGAAUUGCAUUGAGAAACAAAGCAUCCACAGGCCAAAUCUUCUGAAUUUCAAAUGUUUAUAUUAAUGCGUUGUAUUCUAGAAAAGUAGAAUUGUCUUAAGUAGCUUUGUAAUAUAAAGUCAUCUAUCAGCCCAUUACACCUAUUAGAAUGUUUUAACCUUUAUUUCCCACUUUUUUGUUUCUAGACUGAGUGUACUUGGUCUGGUAUUUGUGGCAUAACUUACGGAACACAUAAGAAUGAUACAGAUACUAUUUAAUGAUGACCUAAUACAAGCUUAGAUAGCUAAGGUGAAAGCUUCUAUGGCCUUAACAUUUUCCUCUUGAAGAAUGUAUUUUCUGUAAUAAAAUACAGUGGCUACUUGAAAUCUAUAAACUUAUGUGAGGUCUGGAUAAAUCUGAGCAACUUUCUUCUUUGUGCUCCAGGAACCUACGCACUAUAUAUAUAAAUAAAGCUUAAGUAAACA